rnacentral:rRNA from 1 species
GAUAGAGGGUGCAAACGUUGUUCGGAAUUACUGGGCGUAAAGCGCGUGUAGGCUGCUCGGAAAGUCGGAUGUGAAAGCCCUGGGCUCAACCUAGGAAGUGCAUUCGAAACUUCCGAGCUGGAGUGCUGGAGAGGAAGGCGGAAUUCUCGGUGUAGAGGUGAAAUUCGUAGAUAUCGAGAGGAACACCGGUGGCGAAGGCGGCCUUCUGGACAGUGACUGACGCUGAGACGCGAAAGCGUGGGGAGCAAACAGG